rnacentral:lncRNA from 1 species
AAUGACUGAGUUAAAUAAUAACUGAGUGGACUUUAUUUUAAUUUGCCAUUGUUCGUGAAGACAGUCAUUAGUUUUAAAUGUGAUUAGACAACCCUCCACAGAAGCCUUUGGGAACAAAAUUAAAUUUUGUAGAGACAGGGAGUCUCACUUUGUUACCCAGGCUGGUCUCAAAUUACUGGGCUCAAGCAAUCCUCCUGCUUCAGCCUCUCAAAGUGCCAGGAUUACAGGUAUGAGCCACCAAGUCCUACCAGAAUUUGCAUUUUGGAGUAUGCACCAUUAAACAGUUUAACUCUUCAGUUGAUCUCUUUUUAAAAAUCAAUUGUUCAGCAUCUGUGGAAUCUGAUUGUGAUGUGGUCAGGGACAGAAUGGGACUAAAAUGAGAAUAACCAUGCCAGACUCUUCAGGACACAACCUGGCUAUGGGAGGCUGAUUGUGUUUGCAUGGAGACACUAACUCCAAGUGGAUGGAUGACACCACUGGGACACUGUUGCUCAUGGACCACAGACAGUGGCGCUGGGACACCAAUGCUCAGACUAUAGAUGGUGGUGAUGGGACACCAUUGCUCAUGGACUGCAGACAGUGCUACGAGGACACCGAUGCUCAUGGACUACAGAUGCUGCUCUGAAGUGCUCUGCACUUUACUUUUCUCUAGUUCAUUUCCAAACGGGCCAAUUUCAAAAUUAUAAUUGAAAAGAGUAACUUGAAAACAGAUACUCCCAGCCAUGCCCUUGCCUCAAGACAUCUGCCGUCUCCCUGGCCUCUGAGGCAGGGUGGGAAGACACCGCCACCCCAUUCCAUAGGUGAAGAGCUCUUUCAUGGGGUACAUGCGCAUCCCACUCCUUGCUCGGCUCAGCACAAGCUCAGCAUUGCCAGAGAGAAAAACUGGAAGACAGAGACAAACAAAACAACAACUGGUAGGUGGGUGCUUGUGAUAAGUUAAAGAUAGGAAACCAGGGAACGCUGUGGGCUGCCACCCCAGGGGCUUGGUCGCCACCAAGAGUGAAGGAGGAACAACAGGGAGAGGAUAUGCACCAGAGUCCCCAUCGCCAGCCUAAGCAGGAGCACAGGAGCAACAGCGUUUGAUGCUUUCCUACAAGAGGCUGAAGAAGGAAACAAGUUGCUGAGGUUUUGAAGAAUCGUGGGUCGCAUUUCCUUGGAUCAGCUAAGCCCCGAACAGAUCCCUAAAGCAACUGGGCUUCUGGUCCUAUUUCACCUUCAAAGAGAAUCAAUCCUACCCUUCCAUCCUGAACAGUCUUCUAGGCUCAAGCACUCUGAAUUUUCCUAUCGUGGCUGGAGCUAUCGAUUUGGUGCUAGUCUCACUCUCUUUGUCAACCUCUCUUGUGCAUUUAUUAAUACAAACUUAUUAUUUUUUCCUAACUUAGUUUUUAACGUGAUUACAUUCACAGAUUUUUUAAAAGUUGAUCUGCUCUUGAAUUCCUGGUUUUAUUCUAUGUAAUUAUCAGUAUUUUUUUUCAGAAAUGGUCUCUUUUUAUUUGAAUGGUUGAUCUAGGACUCAGCCUAAAUAUUAUUCUAAUACGUAGCUGUACAUAACCAACAUGUCUAUGAUGUUAGUGAUGAACCAGAACCAACACAGAGAUGGUCUUUGCCUGAUAAAAGAUAAUCACAAUCCGAAAUAAAAUUACUAGGUAAAAUACAGGAUGCCUAGUUAAAUUUGAGUAUCAGAUAAACAAUGAAACAUUUUUAGUUACAUGUCCCAUGUAAUAUUUGUACUAAAUACUUAUACUAAAUUGUAAAGGACAUACUUAUACUAAAUUGUAAAGGACAUCCUUAUACUAAAGGAAAGCAUUGCUUAUCUGAAAUUCACAUUUAACUGGUUGUCCUAUAUUUUUAUUUGUUAAAUGUGGCAAUCUUAAUCAUAAACAAAUAAGCAAACAAGUAUAAGUCUUAGAAAAGAAUAAAUCAAUUUUUAAAUGAAUGCAUUUAGUGUUGUCAGGGAAUAAUUACAAUAUGUCAGCAAACCUUGGCAACCAUUGGAAUCCCGUUUCUGAAAAUUACAGUGUAGUGUGAAGUAGAAAAUAACAACGAUGGUUUUAACUCAUAUGAAACAUAGAAAAAAUUCAGAAACAAACUAGAUUUAUUGGUUUUAAGGAAAAGAAGCCAGAACAACUACCAGAAUACUGUUCUGUUAGGUAACUCUUCUUUUAACCACCUUCUUUAAUUACUCAGGAAAUAUUUCUGUGUUUUCCUCAACAACUGGAGUAGAUUUUCCCAUGAGUUUUAUGUUACACAAAGUUUAGUUAUUUUUAAAGUUAUCAAAUCAGCUCUUACUGGCUUGAAGUUAAGUAUCCAUGGAACUUGUAUUUCCUUUGUUUUCCUUUCAAAUGUCUCCCCAAAAUGCUUGUAACUGUGUAUCCUUUCUGUAAAUAAUUUUGCCACUUAUUGUGUAU